rnacentral:rRNA from 1 species
UACGGGGGGGCAAGCGUUGUUCGGAAUUACUGGGCGUAAAGGGCUCGUAGGCGGCCAACUAAGUCAGACGUGAAAUCCCUCGGCUUAACCGGGGAACUGCCUGUCAAACUGCAUGGCUUGAGACCGGGAGAGGUGAGUGGAAUUCCCAGUGUAGCGGUGAAAUGCGUAGAUAUUGGGAGGAACACCAGUGGCGAAGGCGGCUCACUGGACCGGUACUGACGCUGAGGCGCGAAAGCGUGGGUAGCAAACAGG